rnacentral:rRNA from 1 species
UACGGGGGGAGCAAGCGUUGUUCGGAUUUACUGGGCGUAAAGGGCGCGUAGGCGGCCAGCACAAGUCAGUUGUGAAAUCCCCGGGCUCAACCUGGGAAUGGCAAUGGAUACUGGCUCGCUAGAGUGUGAUAGAGGAUGGUGGAAUUCCCGGUGUAGCGGUGAAAUGCGUAGAGAUCGGGAGGAACAUCAGUGGCGAAGGCGGCCAUCUGGAUCAACACUGACGCUGAGGCACGAAAGCGUGGGGAGCAAACAGG